rnacentral:rRNA from 1 species
AUGCUGCUGAAUGGUGAAAACUUCACCACGAGGGGGGCAUAUGCAGCUCUCUCCACCCAGCUCAACGACCCCGUCCUUGCCAUGGUUUGGGACUCCAGGGUGCCAAAGAGAGUUAUGAUCUUUGGCUGGCUCUUUUACUUGGACCGCCUGAACACCAAGAAGAACCUGCACAAGAAGCACAUCCUAACCUCCGACUCUUGCCCUUGGUGCAACAACGCUGUGGAGGACCGUCACCAAUUCUUCUUCACCUGUCCGGCGUCCCGCAGAGUGUGGAGUGCUGCCAGUAUCUGA